rnacentral:rRNA from 1 species
AGGGUUUGAUCCUGGCUCAGGAUGAACGCUGGCGGCGUGCUUAACACAUGCAAGUCGAACGGAGAUGCUUAAACGGAUUUCUUCGGAUUGAAGCUUUUGCAUCUUAGUGGCGGACGGGUGAGUAACGCGUGGGUAACCUGCCUAUGACAGGGGGACAACAGUUAGAAAUGACUGCUAAUACCGCAUAAGCCGGGAGGGAGGCAUCUCCCCACCGGAAAAGAUUUAUCGGUCAUAGAUGGACCCGCGUCUGAUUAGCUGGUUGGUGAGGUAACGGCCCACCAAGGCGACGAUCAGUAGCCGAACUGAGAGGUUGACCGGCCACAUUGGGACUGAGACACGGCCCAAACUCC